AAAUAAACAAAACAGCACAUCUCCUAUGUCGCUCUCCUGGUGACAGCCCUUCACUGCCUCCACUGCUCACCAGGCACCUACAGCGUCCUGGCCACACAGCUCCUCCUCACCUCCACUAGCCCCUCACACCUCCCCCUGCAGGAAGCCUCCUGGCACAGGGAUUUCACCCUCUGUUCCUUCCUCUCUGUUGUCCCUCUACCUGGAGCUCCCAUCCUGGUCUCACUCGACUUUGCCCUUCACGAGAAUGUUUCGCGAGAAUCCCAAGGGUAUCCUUCCCACGCCCAUGGCCGUGGUGUUCCUAAGGCUUCUGGAAGGUAGGACCCUGUCUGCUUUCCUCGGUUUCUCCAGCAGCCUGGGGCCAGGAGAAGGGCAGCACUACGAGAAAGAAGGGGAAUGGGAAAGCCAUUUGCUUCCUUAAAGAUGGCGGGAAGCUGUUUGAAUUAUAUCGGUCAGCCAUCACCGGAGGGGGCAGAUUUGUGAGUUUUUCCCCAAAGAGAGCUUUCUUUUUUCUUUUUUUUUUUGUUUUUCAACUUUUAUUUUCAGCUCAGGAGGUACAUGCGCAGGUUUGUAACAUGGGUAAAGUGCGUGUCACUGGGGUUUGAUGUACAAAUGGUUUCGUUACCGGGGUAGUGAGCAUACUACCUGAUACGAAGUUUGUUGAUGCUCACUCUCCUCCCAGCCUCCACCCUCAAGUAGGCCCGGUGUCUGUUAUUCCCCUCUGUGUCCAUGGGGACUUCAUUUAUAAAGUGAGAUAAAUAAGAACGUGUGCCACUGCGCCUGGCCCCACAUAUAUCUCUUGUACCACAAUGAUAAUAAUAGUAAUAG
rnacentral:lncRNA from 10 species